UACAGAGGUCUCAAGCGUUGUUCGGAUUCAUUGGGCGUAAAGAGCUCGUAGGCGGCUUGUCGCGUCGACUGUGAAAACCCGCGGCUCAACCGCGGGCCUGCAGUCGAUACGGGCAGGCUAGAGUUCGGUAGGGGAGACUGGAAUUCCUGGUGUAGCGGUGAAAUGCGCAGAUAUCAGGAGGAACACCGAUGGCGAAGGCAGGUCUCUGGGCCGAUACUGACGCUGAGGAGCGAAAGCGUGGGGAGCGAACAGG
rnacentral:rRNA from 1 species